rnacentral:lncRNA from 1 species
AGCAAUCAAUCCAAGAAGAAAUUCAAGGAAAAACGCUUCAAUUGUGGCAAGAUUGGACACAAAUUAACAAAUUAUUGAGCCCCUAAGAAAGACAAGAAAAAACACCAAGCAAAGGUGGUCCAAGAAAGAAACAGGUGAUCUGUGUGCUAAGCUUUUCGAAUGCAAUUUGGUGGAAAAUCCUCGCGAAUGGUGGAUGGAUUCCGG